rnacentral:rRNA from 1 species
AUGCCUAACACAUGCAAGUCGAGCGGCAGCAUGACGUGUAGCAAUACACGUUGAUGGCGAGCGGCGGACGGGUGAGUAAUGCAUGGGGAUCUGCCCAGUAGCGGGGGACAACCCGGAGAAAUCCGGGCUAAUACCGCAUACGCCCUACGGGGGAAAGCGGAGGACCGAAAGGCUUCGCACUAUUGGAGGAACCCAUGCCCGAUUAGCUAGUUGGUGAGGUAACGGCUCACCAAGGCGACGAUCGGUAGCUGGUCUGAGAGGACGAUCAGCCACACCGGAACUGAGACACGGUCCGG